UGGCGGUUAGAGGAUGUAAGGAUCUUUAAAUGCAAAAAGCUGCUAGCAGAUGGAGGAAAUGAAGCUGAUGGUACUUGAGAAUCUUAUUUUAUUUUCUAGGGUUUAUGGAGAAACCUGGGACUUUCAGCAGCUCUAUCACUCCCGGGAGCUACCCUCCAGAUGGUGUAGGCAGUUCAAUGAGUUUCUGAUUUUUGCGACCAAGAACAUGUGGCAAAUCAAGUUGAUAAAGUACCCUUGCUUUACCCAAUCUUCCAUCCAUGACUACUACACAUACCACCAAUACUACAGUUCUUGUUCCUGUGUGUGAAUGCUAACAUUUUUCUAAGUAUGGUGGCAGAAAUAAUUUUACUUACACCACCCAGAAAAGAAUCUCUGCUGAAUAGAUAGUUAAGACUUGGACAAAAGAAUAGUAUACAAAGAGAAAAGAAAAAAGAAAGAAAGAAAAAAAGAAACCAAAGGCCUGAAAGGAAAUUGGUAAGCCAGAAUUGGUUUAACAUUUAAUUUCAUAGAAUUUUUAAGGGAAAAAGAUACUAAAUAAUGACAUAUAUGGUAAUAUCUAUUUUAUUAAUGCCUGAACAUAAAAAAUUUAUACUUUCUACUUUCGCCCCAAUAUAAUACUUUUAGUCCUCCUAAUUCAAGUGGAUCUUAUUAUCUCUUUUAGACAAGAACAAAGAUAAUUAAGUACAGUUAGUUAUUAAUAACAGGAGAUACCUGAAACAGGUGACAUCUUAGAACAUCACGUUAAAAAGAAUUAUUUUAAAACGGAAAAGGCAGGACUCCAGUUUAGCUGUGCUUACGUGUAAAGCCUAAUUGCCACGCUGAAUUCAGCUCAGUAUUUGUAAACUGGCUUGAACACCUUUCUUCCAUUUCACCUGAAAGGAAUGGUGUCAGAUAGUAGAAAGUAAGCAUGGGCAGUUCGACUUGUGUACUAAAUUUUAUUGAGAAUAUUCUUUUUCACAGCCUACAAAAAUCACCACAUCUAAAAUUAUUUUUAGGUUGAAAUCUGAACUCAUCAUUCUUGUGAAGGCUUCAUUCAUUCAUUCAUUCAUUCAUUCAUUCAGUUUACUAUCUGCAGGCAUUGUGAUAGACAAUAGGAUACAACCAUGGAUCCUCUAGGAGCAUCCUGGAGUGUACCAGUAGAGGAUACACUCAAACAAGCCAUUAUCUGUUGACUACAGUGAUAGGUGACUAACGAAAGUGAUCCCAAAAAAUGACUUGAAGGAUGCAGGCAAAGAAGGGGCAGGACAGGAACUCAUAUUUGUUAGAAGAUCAACUAUUUAAAGUCUAGGUGUUUCAUGUAUGUAUAUUACUUAAUUCUAACAAGAACUCUAUGAAAUACACAUAUGAUAACAUUUUACCGAUUAAAGAGUACAGACUGAGAUGUUCAGCUUGUACUUGUCCCACGGUAAAAUUGAGUUACAGUUCUUGACCCCAAAGUUCUUUUUUCCUUCCAUUGCAUCUAGGUGCUUCCUGUGACAAUGAUCUUGUGGUUUCAGUUUGCAGUCUUGGCACAGAAAGGUGCCAGAAAAAAAUCACUUAAUCAUGUUCAAGCUAAAUUGUAUAAAACAUAUUUCUACCCAUAGUUAUCACACAUUAAAUGAAAUUUAAAUUAAUUUAGUCCAGCAAAUACUACAGGUAGAUAAUUUAUUUUAUAUGUGUCUUGGUCCCUCCCUCCAAAACAUAGGGAUAUUAGUGUAUAUACCUCUUCAGUGUCCUAAAUGAGAUUAUCUGUAUUUAUAUAACAUGCAUAACAAUUCAGAGUAAGUGUUCAGUAAAUGUUAGUAAUUAUUAUUAUUAAUAUUUGUGUCUUGUUGGCAUUUAUCUUUUCAAGCUGACAAAUGAGAAAGUAUUUUAACUGAAAGCUGCUAUGCAUCAUCAGUGGGGCUUCAGUCUGGAUAAAUGAUAGUUUUUAAGCUUGUGUUUAUUCUCUUUUCAAACCUGAUUAUUGGGUGUUUUAGUGGUGUUUCAGGAAAGACUCACAAACACAAUUAAAUUGAAUACAAAGUGCUAAUAGAUGCAAAAAUCUAUGAAUAUUCUGAUUCUUAAAAGUCAUUUAUGGUAAGUUAAACAUUAUGUAUUGGAUUUGGAAAAUCUAUCUCUAUAUUGCCAAAUGUAAACUCCAAAACAGACUUGGUACUGUGCCUGCCUAAUAUUAGGAUUAUAAGACAGUGUGAAAGAAGAGGAAGGGAUAACGAACUUAAGUUUUCUUCACCACAUUUGACAGAAAAAGUGAGGUGACAAGAGAAUGCACAUAUGCCAUUUAAAUUAAAACCACUACAUUAAUUCAUAGCUGUAAAUGAAACAAAACAGUUUGUACACUGCUCAUUUAUAAUUGUGGAGAUUUGGGAAAAAAAAAAAAAAGCAAUAGGCAACAGUUUAGGUGACCUGAUUCCUGAUGCCAUCAACAAACAUUUAUGGGGCGGGAUAGGUUAAAAGCAGAGAAUCUUGGCUGGAGUCUGACUCUGCCAUCUGACUGUGCUGGAAUUUGCAGACAUCCUAUAAAUAGUGGUUGACUGUGUAAUCAUGAGGAAGUCAUUUAACCUCUGUUAUCUUACCUUGGUUUUCAUGAGGAUUAACUCAUAUAACAUUGCCAAAGUACUUACAGGCUUCCUGGUUUAUACUUAGCUCUUCAUAUAUACUACCUGUUUUUGGAAAUAUAUUUUGGAGAUCCUUUACCACACUGGAAGCCAGGACCACAAAUAUAAUUAGAUACAACACUAACACAGAUGAUAAGCAAUAUGGUUAAAGUGGUUAGUGUUAAGUGAAGUGGGUAAAAGAGCGAGGGAAAACCGAAAACACACUUCACAGUGCUGAGAGAAGCUAAUAAAUAUUUCUAGAAAUCGAGACGUGUGCUGCAGGCAGCAAGUGCUAGAGAGGAGGUGCAUUCUAACAUAUGUCCCUGUGAGGUGCAGUAGCCUGUUUGAUGCCAGGAGAGUCGCUUUUCUUCUCUUUACUAAAAUCCCUGGUGUGUGAAAAGGGCAGGUUGAAUUAGCCAUGUCAAGUCUCCUCCUGCCUCAAUAUUUGGUGAUUCUCUGUAACUCUAAGUGAGGCUUUUUAUGGCUGAAAUAGGAUACUGAAGGCUGCCUGGGCGAUGGAAAAAAUAUCUCUUGGCAGAGGAGGGGAGAAGGCAGAAGUCAUAAGUCCCAGAAGCUGUAGAAAAAGGGAUAAAACAGGUUCAAAUGACAGGGAUUGAGGUAAAGAUACAGUGGAGCUGAGGAAGCCUUGUCCCAAGGACGGUGCAGAUGACUGUGAACUUUUCUUCUUCAUACUCCAUUUCUUCACACUGACAGUGUAACUUUGUCCCGUGUUAAAGUCUGACAGUGUGGCUUGAUCCGUUCUUCCUGUACUUGUUAGACUUCCUGUACUUGUACUUCUAGACAAUAAGGCAUCAUUAAGACCUGUCCUCUGUGCCUUGCACACUGCUUAUACUUUCCUUCCACAGAGAAAGCAUGGCAGAACACAAAACCAUGCUGACUUGUAUGCUGGUGACUUUGAUUUGGUCUUUUCAAAAAGCUGAUCAUGAACUGCAAGAAGACAGAAAGGAGAAGAAAAAUGGAAAAUAUCAAAGCUUUGAGUAUAAGAAUUUUAAACCAGGUUCCGACAUUUAUUA